CCUGUAGCACUUAAACCUGCCAUAUCCAACCCCAACAUUCUAUUUGUUUAAUUUUCAAACUAACCAGAUCCAGCCUCUCACACCUACCUUGCAAUUUCAUUUUAAAAAUAACCAAUCACAUCAUAGAAAUCUCAAAGCUGCAAAAUAAUCCAAGAUUAAUUCAAAUCAGUGUGAAUUAAUAAGCAUCACAUUCUACAAUA